GACGAACCGUGCGAACGUUGUUCGGAUUCACUGGGCUUAAAGGGCGCGUAGGCGGGCGGUCAAGUCGGGGGUGAAAUCUUUCAGCUUAACUGGAAAAGUGCCUCCGAUACUGAUCGCCUCGAGGGAGGUAGGGGCAUGUGGAACUUCCGGUGGAGCGGUGAAAUGCGUAGAUAUCGGAAGGAACACCUGUGGCGAAAGCGGCUCACUGGACCAUUACUGACGCUGAGGAACGAAAGCCAGGGGAGCGAAAGGG
rnacentral:rRNA from 1 species